CGUAACUACUGUGCAUUGACACGCAAUUUGUUUUGUUUCAUUCUUCUAAGAAAAGCGGGAUAGAGAUUAUGAUUAAAAUAUGUCCAUCAAGAACUUUCGUACUAAAAUACGCUACAUAUGCGGCCUUCUCAAUGCUAUUUCGUCUAUCAGCGCCACGUUUCCGCGAGGAGCUUUAGUAAGCUACAAACUGGAUGGAACUGACAAGAAUGUAAGUGUCACGGGAGCAGAAUACAUCUGGUCAUCUUGUUUCGGUAAAGUUCUAUCGUUUACGUCACGGAAACAGAGAGCGGAUAUCCCAAGGUUAUGGUUAGAGAAAUAUGAAAAGUUUUCAAUUACUUUGUUUAUCAAUGUGAACAGAUUUAAGGAUCAAAUGAUAUUUUAUGAUAUUGGUAAAGCACAGAAUUUCGCUAUACGUAUUGAUCAUACAAAUAAACUUCGAAUAGAAGAAUACGUCAUGACAAACAGAAAAAUGUAUUAUGUUAGAGAAUACUUUCCGAGUGGUUGGCAUCUCAUCUCUGUAACAAAGGAUAGGAGCCACUUUAAAUGCUACAUCGAUGGUAAAUCACUCAAGCUGAAACGUAACAACUA